ACUAUUUCUUAGAGCUGAAGCGAACUACCCAGCUCUGGCCUUUCUAUUUUCUAUAUAAUACCCAUAAACUAAAUUGCGAUCGAGCAACGACGACACUUGUCAAUUCCUCCCUUUACACACUAUCGACGGGAACGUACUCGCCCUUCAUACCGAAUAUGACGAAAAUGUCCUUACUUCCAUAGGCAAUGAGCUAGCUACCUGUGGCUCAAUUCAACGUUGACCGUAAACUAAGGGCUUUUUCGACCGCCAAUCAACUUCUCUCAGCAUUUUUCUUCCUUAACCAGCUUGUACAGGUGGCAUAAUGGUUAGAAGACAACAGUUAUCCUCCCAUAUUAUCCAUCAAAAAAUGAGUUGGAUAAUGAACCAUUUAAAAUCAGUUAUCCACCCAUAUUAUCCUUGUAUUGUUGUCCCUUCAUUUUAAUAACAUACUUUUCCCACAAAGUAAA